GAAAUGCGAUAAUUAAUGUGAAUUGCAGAAUUCAGUGAAUCAUCGAGUCUUUGAACGCACAUUGCGCCCCCUGGUAUUCCGGGGGGCAUGCCUGUCCGAGCGUCAUUGCUGCCCUCAAGCACGGCUUGUGUGUUGGGCUUCCGUCCCUGGCAACGGGGACGGGCCCAAAAGGCAGUGGCGGCACCAUGUCUGGUCCUCGAGCGUAUGGGGCUUUGUCACCCGCUCCCGUAGGUCCAGCUGGCAGCUAGCCUCGCAACCAAUCUUUUUAAACAGGUUGACCUCGGAUCAGGUAGGGAUACCCGCUGAACUUAAGC
rnacentral:misc_RNA from 1 species